rnacentral:rRNA from 1 species
GACGAACGCUGGCGGCGUGCUUAACACAUGCAAGUCGAACGGAAAGGCCCUGCUUUUGUGGGGUGCUCGAGUGGCGAACGGGUGAGUAACACGUGAGUAACCUGCCCUUGACUUUGGGAAAACUUCAGGAAACUGGGGCUAAUACCGGAUAGGAGCUCCUGCUGCAUGGUGGGGGUUGGAAAGUUUCGGCGGUUGGGGAUGGACUCGCGGCUUAUCAGCUUGUUGGUGGGGUAGUGGCUUACCAAGGCUUUGACGGGUAGCCGGCCUGAGAGGGUGACCGGCCACAUUGGGACUGAGAUACGGCCCAGACUCCUACGGGAGGCAGCAGUGGGGAAUAUUGCACAAUGGGCUGAAGCCUGAUGCAGCAACGCCGCGUGCGGGAUGACGGCCUUCGGGUUGUAAACCGCUUUCGCCUGUGACGAAGCGUGAGUGACGGUAAUGGGUAAAGAAGCACCGGCUAACUACGUG